rnacentral:piRNA from 1 species
CAACCACACGAGUCUAUGGGGGACAC